GGUGAAGUUCUCAGGCGUGGGUGGUGCUGCCAUUCUCUUCAAGGGAAUUGGUACUGCGGUAUCUUUUUUUGUUCAAGCAUGGUGCAUACAACUAAGAGGUCCUGUCUUUGUUGCAAUGUUCAGCCCUCUAUGCACUGUUAUAACAGCCAUUAUAGCCUCUUUGUUUCUACAUGAGAAGUUAUAUGCUGGAAGCUUGGUCGGUGCUUUAGCUGUGAUUAUUGGGCUAUAUAUUGUGCUUUGGGGAAAGGCAAAAGACCUUGAGGAGAUUAAACAGGAGACUAAAGAUAUUCCAAAGCUGGAGGGUGAUCAAACGAAAUCUAU